CGGCCGGGAACUCAAAGGAGACUGCCAGUGAUAAACUGGAGGAAGGUGGGGAUGACGUCAAGUCAUCAUGGCCCUUACGACCAGGGCUACACACGUGCUACAAUGGCGCAUACAAAGAGAAGCGACCUCGCGAGAGCAAGCGGACCUCAUAAAGUGCGUCGUAGUCCGGAUUGGAGUCUGCAACUCGACUCCAUGAAGUCGGAAUCGCUAGUAAUCGUGGAUCAGAAUGCCACGGUGAAUACGUUCCCGGGCCUUGUACACACCGCCCGUCACACCAUGGGAGUGGGUUGCAAAAGAAGUAGGUAGCUUAACCUUCGGGAGGGCGCUUACCACUUUGUGAUUCAUGACUGGGGUGAAGUCGUAACAAGGUAACCGUAGGGGAACCUGCGGUUGGAUCACCUCCUUACCUUAAAGAAGC
rnacentral:rRNA from 4 species